AGCCUAAACAACCUCUUUUCCCCUCCUUUCUCCUCUAACCCCGCAUACAAGCUCUCAAACGCCGCCGUCUUAGUAGCCGUAAGUGCUAGCUUAGCCCCCCUCCUCGCUAACUUGUACUCCUCCCUAUUUACCCGCUUCUCUUCUUCAUCCUUACUCUCAACCAACUUAGCAUAUGCCCCCUUCUUAGUCUCCACUUUCUUCUUAACUUCUUCAUUCCACCACCAAUAAUUAACCUUCGUUUUCAUAUGCAGUCUCCAAAGGAUACAGUUCCAUGUCGGACUGCUAAGCUAAAUGACUCAAAUAAUUAACCUUCGUUUUCAUAUGCAG
rnacentral:lncRNA from 1 species